CAGAAGUUGAAUGGUUAACCCAGGAACACAGAUUAACUCAUGAAUUUCAAUGCAAAUACAAAGUUGGACACUUUUUCUCUGACAAAAACUAAGUCUGCUUUGCCCAACUGGUUUGAAACUGAGAACUUUAUUUGUCAUUUUCCUUAGAAGGGCAGACAUUUUUAAUAAACUGGAAAAGCUAAAUCUGGCGCUUCAAAAUUUUAAGGAAAAUAUAUUUAAAGCAUGUGUAUUGUAUGAAAGAAAUCACAACCUUUUCAACUAUUUAAAUUUAUUAUAAAAAAUCCUAGAUGUUAACUUAAAAAUCUGUGGGAUGUAGACAGUUUACGAAAUUCUUUUAGGGGACAUAUGAGCAAAAAUAUUUGAAGACUACUGCUCUUGGAGGCCAUACGAUCUGAGGAUGGAGAGAAACAGGAGAAGUCCACAGCAAAAUUUUCAAGGGAGGGAGCCUCUGGUGUUCAUCCCAACUCCUCUCCCCAUUCUGCCUUUUCCCUGGAGUUAUCCUCAGAGAUUUCUGGUAGGCAGGCUUCCCCAGUCCAAGGACCCCAAAACUCCAGAACUUUCACAGUCCCUGCUCUCCAUCCCAUUCUGGGUUUCAUUCCCUCAGAGCCCUGACCUCCAAGAACAGGCAUCUAAUCAUUCGACUCAUCCUUUAAACUAUUCUACUAGCCUGUUUAAUGGACAUUGGCCAUUCUUUUUUGACUGUUCAUCAUGUGGUUUGGAAAUUUCCCCAUCUUUUGAGUCUUGAUUGUAUGCUAAGCCCAUCUCCCAUGAUAACGUCAGAAAGCUCCAGAUAUUCCUUUUCCCAUCUCCUCUUAGUAAUACACAUCACUUCUAAUUACUUGACAAGUAGUAACUCAUUUAAUCCUCAAGCAACCCUGCGAAGUAGGUGCUACUAUUGUCAAAUUGAUACAUUUGAGGAAACUGAGCACAGAGGGAGAAAGUAUGGUGCUCAUGGUCACACUGCAAGUAAUUGGAAGAACCAAGAUCUGAGCUUAAGGAAUCUGACUCCAGAGUCUAAGCUCCAAGUCACCAUGCAAAGGCACAUGACCCAAGUUCAAACAGAUAGACUCACUGAAGACUUUUAUUCAAGAGCUGGUGCUUCAGAGAAGCAGUGAUAGGAGACUACAGCUAGGACUGGGGAGGGCCACUGGAGCCUCCACAUGAACCCAGGGCAGCAAUGGCAGCGAUGGCCAGUGAUUAUGACUGGGGUCCAAGGCUGGCUCAAGGUGCUGACCAUAUACAAUAUACGGCCUGGUGUGCCAGUUACUGGGUGUGACUAUGAUUGUGGCUCUGGUCAAACUACUCUCUACCUGGUUCUCUCUCUCUCCUGGUAGCCCUGGGAAAGCCACUAUCAUCUAUAUAGCUAUGUAGCUAUCAACUUAUAUCUAUUUUCAUUCACAUGGACAGUUUACAACUUUAACUGGUUUGUUUGUGUGUGUGUAUCUGUGCCUCUGAUGAAAGGGCACACCGAGGUGACCAGUCGUAUACUUCUGACCUGAGCAUCCUUCGACCUGGCUGCCUGAAGUUUGGCAAGGAAUAGAACCAUCCCCAUAAUCGGAGCCAGAGAUGGGGAAAAAGGUAGAACUGGGAAAUUGCUCCUUCUCCCUUGCGAGGUGAUGCUCCUCUGAAGCAUCCAGGACCAAGAAGGGGCUGGGAAUGAUAGGAGACCAUUCAGGGGACUCACAACAGUAGCUAUAAUGGACUAGUAAGAAAUGAAAAUUUAAUAUUUGGAAACCUGUGUUUAAAAUGCUGGGCAUACUAACAAUGCAUUAUGGCAGUGAACAAGAUAGACAAGGGCCCUCCCUCAUGGUGCUUUCUUUUUUGGGAGUAACUCCAAUGGCGUCAGAGGGCUCACCUCCUGGGAGAGCUUCGAGUCUCCUGCAGUCACAGAGGCCAAGUUCCUCAGCUCCAAGCAACAUCAUGCCUCAACCCAUACUUGGUAAUGAAGACUUAGAAGCCAUUUGGACCAGAAGUAGGUUUGCUUCACCUGGCGAAAGCAAAUUUGUCACAGUGAUAUCCUGAGCUGCUAAAUACACUAAUAGAGAAGCUGAUCAUACAGUAUUUCAUUUUGUAAAUGUAUCAAAUAGCUCUCUUUAAUAUAUACCAAGUCCAUUCAUUAAACAAUCAUCACUGUAAAAAAAUCGAUGUUUGAAAUAGUGAUAACAAACCAACUCCAAAUGUGCAAAUUAACACUUCAUUUUUUGUUCUGCAUUGAUUAAGGGAAAAAACUCAGCUCUAUGUUCAUCUUCUUGCACGAUCUUCAUUUUUCACAGGAAUUUGUCUUUCUCUGUGUGUAUAUAAGAAGAUGGGGCCUAGGAAUGUAACUAUUCUUUCUUAAUCCAUAUUAGUGAGAAAAGCAGGGCAAACAAAUAUUUUACAGAUAAGAACAGACACUUGCAAGCUCAGUGAGUUGUUAAGAGCAAUUUUAAGGAAUAAAAGAUUUCUCAGUUCUUUGUUUUUAAAUUAUAGGCUCAUCAUAUUAUGUAUUCUCUAAAUAUUGAGAUUAGUUAGUAGAUGUAUUAGCCUAAUGAUUUGUCCUAAAC
rnacentral:lncRNA from 1 species